AUAAUAUGCAUGACAACCCUAUAUGAACAAACCUUUGUUGUAAUAUAAUGUGAUAGUUGAUGUGUUGAAUAUAUUUUACAUAAUAGAUUCUUCCGAUUAACAUCAAAGGCCUAGCUGGAAGUUUUGCAACACUUGCCAAUUGGUUCUUUUCCUGGUUGGUUACAUUAACAGCAAAUUUGCUCUUGGAUUGGAGUUCGGGAGGAACCUUCACAAUAUAUACUGCAGUGUGUGUUUUCACAGCAGGAUUUGUUGCCAUUUGGGUCCCCGAGACAAAGGGAAAAACUCUUGAAGAAAUACAACAGUUUUUCAGAUGAAGUUUCCUUUCGAGUAGCACUUCAGCUAGUGUUCACUCAUGUAUUCACAUUCAUAUUUUUUUUUCUGAAUCAACUCAAUUCAUUUUUGUGCUCUUUGGUCUUGUUAAAUAUGAAAAAUACCAAAACAGUGUGAUUUUCUAAUCUAGCAGCAUACUUGCAUUUUUGUUGUAAUUGAUUGAUUAUAAACAAAUAAAUGAAAGAGAGUGGUUAUUA